rnacentral:rRNA from 1 species
AAUAUUGGACACUGGGCGCAAGCCUGAUCCAGCCAUGCCGCCUGCGUGAUGAAGGCCCUAGGGUUGUAAAGCUCCUUUGUCCGGGACGAUAACGACGGUACCGGAAGCAUAAGCCCCGUCUAAUUUCGCCCCCGCAGCCGCGGUUAUACGAAGGGGGCUAGCGUUGCUCGGAAUCACUGGGCGUAAAGGGCGCGUAGGCGGACGUUUAAGUCAGGGGUGAAGUCCCGGGGCUCAACCUCGGAAUUGCCUUUGAUACUGGAUGUCUCGAGACCGGAAGGGGUAAGUGGAACUGCGAGUGUAGAGGUGAAAUUCGUAGAUAUUCGCAAGAACACCAGUGGCGAAGGCGGCUUACUGGUCCGGUUCUGACGCUGAGGCGCGAAAGCGUGGGGAGCAAACAG